AACGAACGCUGGCGGCAUGCCUAACACAUGCAAGUCGAACGAGACCUUCGGGUCUAGUGGCGCACGGGUGCGUAACGCGUGGGAACCUGCCCUUAGGUUCGGAAUAACUCCCCGAAAGGGGUGCUAAUACCGGUUAAUGUCUUCGGACCAAAGAUUUAUCGCCUUUGGAUGGGCCCGCGUUGGAUUAGCUAGUUGGUAGGGUAAAAGCCUACCAAGGCGACGAUCCAUAGCUGGUCUGAGAGGAUGAUCAGCCACACUGGGACUGAGACACGGCCCAGACUCCGACGGGAGGCAGCAGUGGGGAAUAUUGGACGAUGGGCGAAAGCCUGAUCCAGCAAUGCCGCGUGAGUGAUGAAGGCCUUAGGGUUGUAAAGCUCUUUUACCCGGGAUGAUAAUGACAGUACCGGGAGAAUAAGCUCCGGCUAACUCCGUG
rnacentral:rRNA from 1 species